UACGUAGGUGGCAAGCGUUAUCCGGAAUUAUUGGGCGUAAAGCGCGCGCAGGCGGUUUCUUAAGUCUGAUGUGAAGGCCCACGGCUCAACCGUGGAGGGUCAUUGGAAACUGGGGAACUUGAGUGCAGAAGAGAAAAGCGGAAUUCCACGUGUAGCGGUGAAAUGCGUAGAGAUGUGGAGGAACACCAGUGGCGAAGGCGGCUUUUUGGUCUGUAACUGACGCUGAGGCGCGAAAGCGUGGGGAGCGAACAGG
rnacentral:rRNA from 1 species